rnacentral:rRNA from 1 species
GUGGGGAAUAUUGGGCAAUGGGCGAAAGCCUGACCCAGCAACGCCGCGUGAAGGAAGAAGGUUUUCGGAUCGUAAACUUCUAUCCUUGGUGAAGAUAAUGACGGUAGCCAAGAAGGAAGCCCCGGCUAACUACGUGCCAGCAGCCGCGGUAAUACGUAGGGGGCAAGCGUUGUCCGGAAUGAUUGGGCGUAAAGGGCGCGUAGGCGGCCCGGUAAGUCUGAAGUGAAAGUCCUGCUUUUAAGGUGGGAAUUGCUUUGGAUACUGUCGGGCGUGAGUGCAGGAGAGGUAAGCGGAAUUCCCGGUGUAGCGGUGAAAUGCGUAGAGAUCGGGAGGAACACCAGUGGCGAAGGCGGCUUACUGGACUGUAACUGACGCUGAGGCGCGAAAGUGUGGGGAGCAAACAGGAUUAGAUACCCUAGUAGUCC